UUGUAUACAGGUAUGACCAUGAGAUUGUAUACAGGUAUGACCAUGAGAUUGUAUACAGGUAUGACCAUGAGAUUGUAUACAGGUAUGACCAUGAGAUUGUAUACAGGUAUGACCAUGAGAUUGUAUACAGGUAUGACCAUAAAACAUUGUAUACAGGUAUGACCAUGAGAUUGUAUACAGGUAUGACCAUAAAAGAUUGUAUACAGGUAUGACCAUAAAAGAUUGUAUACAGGUAUGACCAUAAAAGAUUGUAUACAGGUAUGACCGUGAGAUUGUAUACAGGUAUGACCAUGAGAUUGAAUACAGGUAUGACCAUGAGAUUGUAUACAGGUAUG